rnacentral:rRNA from 1 species
UUGGAGGGCAAGUCUGGUGCCAGCAGCCGCGGUAAUUCCAGCUCCAAUAGCGUAUAUUAAAGUUGUUGCAGUUAAAAAGCUCGUAGUUGAACCUUGGGCCUGGCUGGCCAGUCCGUCUCAUCGCGUGUACUGGUCCGGCCGGGCCUUUCCUUCUGGCUAGGCACAUGCCCUUUACUGGGUGUGUGUCCGAACCAGGACUUUUACUUUGAAAAAAUUAGAGUGUUCAAAGCAGGCAUAUGCUCGAAUACAUUAGCAUGGAAUAAUAG